rnacentral:misc_RNA from 1 species
GAUGAAGAACGCAGCAAAAUGCGAUACUUGGUGUGAAUUGCAGAAUCCCGUGAACCAUCGAGUUUUUGAACGCAAGUUGCGCCCGAAGCCUUUUGGUCGAGGGCACGUCUGCCUGGGCGUCACGCAUCGCGUCGCCCCCCACAAUUCUCCGUAAAGGGAACGUGUGUUUUGGGGGCGGAUAUUGGUCUCCCGUGCUCAUGGCGUGGUUGGCCGAAAUAGGAGUCCUUUCGAUGGACGCACGAACUAGUGGUGGUCGUAAAAACCCUCGUCUUUUGUUUCGUGCUGUUGCUCGCAAGGUAAACUCUUUAAAAACCCCAAUGUGUCGUCUCUUGACGACGCUUCGACCGCGACCCCAGGUCAGGCGGGACUACCCGCUGAGUUUAAGCAUAUCAAUAAGCGGAGGA